rnacentral:rRNA from 1 species
UGGGGAAUAUUGCACAAUGGGCGCAAGCCUGAUGCAGCAACGCCGCGUGAGGGAUGACGGCCUUCGGGUUGUAAACCUCUUUUAGCAGGGAAGAAGCGAAAGUGACGGUACCUGCAGAAAAAGCACCGGCUAACUACGUGCCAGCAGCCGCGGUAAUACGUAGGGUGCAAGCGUUGUCCGGAAUUAUUGGGCGUAAAGAGCUCGUAGGCGGUCUGUCGCGUCUGCUGUGAAAUCCCGAGGCUCAACCUCGGGCCUGCAGUGGGUACGGGCAGACUAGAGUGCGGUAGGGGAGAAUGGAACUCCUGGUGUAGCGGUGGAAUGCGCAGAUAUCAGGAAGAACACCGAUGGCGAAGGCAGUUCUCUGGGCCGUAACUGACGCUGAGGAGCGAAAGCGUGGGGAGCGAACAGGAUUAGAUACCCUGGUAGUCCACGCCGUAAACGUUGGGCGCUAGAUGUGGGGACCAUUCCACGGUUUCCGUGUCGCAGCUAACGCAUUAAGCGCCCCGCCUGGGGAGUACGGCCGCAAGGCUAAAACUCAAAGGAAUUGACGGGGUCAUAGCUGUUUCCU